rnacentral:rRNA from 1 species
UACGUAGGGUGCGAGCGUUGUCCGGAAUUAUUGGGCGUAAAGAGCUUGUAGGCGGUUUGUCGCGUCUGCCGUGAAAGCCCAGGGCUUAACCCUGGGUCUGCGGUGGGUACGGGCAGACUAGAGUGUGGUAGGGGAGACUGGAAUUCCUGGUGUAGCGGUGAAAUGCGCAGAUAUCAGGAGGAACACCAGUGGCGAAGGCGGCGACCUGGACGGACACUGACGCUGAGACGCGAAGCGUGGGGAGCAAACAGG